AAAAAUAAGGUAUUUUAUACCUCUUGCAUUUAAAACCCGACUCAAAAAUAUAAUUUUUUUUAAAAAAAAA
rnacentral:misc_RNA from 1 species